rnacentral:rRNA from 1 species
UGGGGAAUAUUGCACAAUGGGCGAAAGCCUGAUGCAGCAACGCCGCGUGAGUGAUGAAGGCCUUCGGGUUGUAAAGCUCUGUCUUCUGGGACGAUAAUGACGGUACCAGAGGAGGAAGCCACGGCUAACUACGUGCCAGCAGCCGCGGUAAUACGUAGGCGGCAAGCGUUGUCCGGAUUUACUGGGCGUAAAGGAUGCGUAGGCGGAUACUUAAGUCAGAUGUGAAAAUCCCGGGCUUAACUUGGGAACUGCAUUUGAAACUGGGUAUCUAGAGUGCGGGAGAGGAAAGUGGAAUUCCUAGUGUAGCGGUGAAAUGCGUAGAGAUUAGGAAGAACACCAGUGGCGAAGGCGACUUUCUGGACCGUAACUGACGCUGAGGCAUGAAAGCGUGGGGAGCAAACA